rnacentral:rRNA from 1 species
UACGUAGGGACCAAGCGUUGUUCGGAUUUACUGGGCGUAAAGGGCGCGUAGGCGGCGCGACAAGUCACUUGUGAAAUCUCUGGGCUUAACUCAGAACGGCCAAGUGAUACUGCUGUGCUAGAGUGCAGAAGGGGCAAUCGGAAUUCUUGGUGUAGCGGUGAAAUGCGUAGAUAUCAAGAGGAACACCUGAGGUGAAGACGGGUUGCUGGGCUGACACUGACGCUGAGGCGCGAAAGCUAGGGGAGCGAACAGG